rnacentral:rRNA from 1 species
GAUGAACGCUGGCGGCGUGCCUAAUACAUGCCAGUAGAACGCUGAAGGAAGGAGCUUGCUCUUUCCGGAUGAGUUGCGAACGGGUGAGUAACGCGUAGGUAACCUGCCUGGUAGCGGGGGAUAACUAUUGGAAACGAUAGCUAAUACCGCAUAACAGUAGAUGUUGCAUGAUAUCUACUUAAAAGGUGCAAUUGCACCACUACCAGAUGGACCUGCGUUGUAUUAGCUAGUUGGUGAGGUAACGGCUCACCAAGGCGACGAUACAUAGCCGACCUGAGAGGGUGAUCGGCCACACUGGGACUGAGACACGGCCCAGACUCCUACGGGAGGCAGCAGUAGGGAAUCUUCGGCAAUGGACGGAAGUCUGGCCGAGCAACGCCGCGUGAGUGAAGAAGGUUUUCGGAUCGUAAAGCUCUGUUGUAAGAGAAGAACGAGUGUGAGAGUGGAAAGUUCACACUGUGACGGUAUCUUACCAGAAAGGGACGGCUAACUACGUG